UGAGAAACCUACCCUGGACUCUGGGAUAACAGCGGGAAACCGCUGCUAAUACCGGGUAAACCACUCCCACCGCAUGAUGGGAAUGGGAAAGAUUUUUCGGUCCGGGAUGGUCUCGCGGCCUAUCAGCUUGUUGGUGGGGUAACGGCCUACCAAGGCUUCGACGGGUAGCUGGCGUGAGAGCGUGGCCAGCCACACUGGGACUGAGAUACGGCCCAGACUCCUACGGGAGGCAG
rnacentral:rRNA from 1 species